UUAAAUAUAAUUGAAAAAAAAAAAAAUCAGGUCAGAUUUUUUUUUUUUAUUCACAUGAGAUCUAAAAAUAAUUAAAAUGAAUUUCUUACAAAAAAAGUGGGAAAAUGUGAAUAGACAGAGCAACAGCAUUGUUUUGUGAAUGUUUCUCCAGAGUAUUAUUUUCUCUGCUAUCUUUUGAGAUGUUGUCCCAUUCUUAUGAAUUUCCCCUCAGCUAGCCCCGCCCACUUAUUCUCACAUAUUACUUUCACAGCUGCUUCAAGCAAUAUGUUCUCAAUGUUAUUCCUUUGCUAACUUUGAUACAGAGCUUUGCCUUCUAGUGGUCAGCAUACAGAUGUAAUUGUGCUAAAUCUGGCAGGAUAUAGGCUGGAAAUCGUCCUUGGCAUUGGCGUAUGGCAUAGCAGCUUCAUGGGAAAAAACAGCAGACAGGCAAGGAGUGGGCUCUGACUGAGGGUUGACUGAGGACUGAGGAACUCUGGUUUCGAUCUGGGAUAUUGACGUACCACUGCAAAUUUUGAACACUGAUACUGUAGUUGCAGGAAAGGAUAACAUAUUUUCCUGCCACCACAUGCUUCGCUGAGAAAAAUGGUUUUAUCAGAGAGAACCUGGGAAGCAGGAGUCACACCCUCAUCCAGAUUAUAAAAUCUAAAUAUGUAUGCAGAGAGGACCACCCUGUCGCCUUACAGAUGUCCUCCAAGGACGCACCUCUAGCCAAAUCCCAUGAGGAUGUCAUGAUCCUAGAAUGGGCUUGAAUACCCAAAGGCGAAGUGAAAAACCAACACGACGGUGGAUCUCCACAUGGUAACAUGUAGCACCAGGAUCUGAGACAGAACAGUAAAGUUGUGAAAAACCAACACGACGGUGGAUCUCCACAUGGUAACAUGUAGCACCAGGAUCUGAGACAGAACAGUAAAGUUGUGAAAAACCAACACGACGGUGGAUCUCCACAUGGUAACAUGUAGCACCAGGAUCUGAGACAGAACAGUAAAGUUGGUAAGUGUUAUAUCACAGGUUUUUGUACAGUGUAGAAGGGUUUCCU